UACGGGGGGAGCAAGCGUUGUUCGGAAUUACUGGGCGUAAAGCGUGCGCAGGCGGUGAUGUAAGACAGGGGUGAAAUCCCCGGGCUUAACCUGGGAACUGCAUUUGUGACUGCAUCGCUGGAGUGCGGCAGAGGGGGAUGGAAUUCCGCGUGUAGCAGUGAAAUGCGUAGAUAUGCGGAGGAACACCGAUGGCGAAGGCAAUCCCCUGGGCCUGCACUGACGCUCAUGCACGAAAGCGUGGGGAGCAAACAGG
rnacentral:rRNA from 1 species